CGCUAAGAAGCUAAUAAGUACAAGCGUUAGCCUUUUAAGCUAAAGACUGGUGCCUAACAACCACCCUUAGCGAC
rnacentral:tRNA from 1 species